ensembl:lncRNA
GCCCAGUGUGAGCUCUGGAAAAUAUUUGACCUGUUGCUGUCAAUGGGUUUUCGCCAGCCUCGGGGAGUUUCUUCUCAGACUUCUGCAAGUCAAAACUCAGCCAACCGCUGGAGAGGACCCAUCUGCCCAUCUCAGGAAUUCUCCAGUCUUCUGUUUCACACCUGAUGAAAAUUCCAGUUUCCAGAUGUUCAGGCCAAAUGCCCAGCCACAACUGUUGAUCAGUUUCUGGCAUCAUAUAACAUGCCUGUAGGAGAAACUGAAAAUCCAAUCAAAGAAUUGGAAAACAGGUUCUAAAUGUUCCCAGGAAUGGUCCAGACUACAAGAGCUGAGGACUCCACAGCAUCUGAGUGAAGAGCUAUCAGGGAGUGACAAGACACAGCAACUGUUCAACCUCAAGCAGAACCAGCUUGGGACAGGGGAUCUUCCCAACCCAGGAAUCAGACCUGGGUCUCCCAAAUUACCGGCGGAUUCUUUACCAUCUGAGCCACGAGGGAAGCCCCCAAGGUGUUUCAGCUGUCCCAGAAAUGGAAGCUGAAACCAGUCAAUCAGGAAUCACCUGAUCAGCGCCAGUUAGGCAAUCUGCCUGAUAGACCUUGCCACCCACUAAAGGGAAGUAAACUUGCAAUAACCAACUAGCUUUUUUGUGUGUGAGUCCCUUGUUCCUUCUCCCUUCUGCCUACAGAAAUCUUAACAUUAUACAGCUUCUCUGAGCUCCUUUAUAUCUGCUAGAUAGGAGGCUGCCCGAUCCAAAUUGAUUUUUGUUGGAAUAAACUCUUAAAAUGUUCA